rnacentral:tRNA from 1 species
GGCGAAGUGCCAGAGUGGUGAUUGGGUAUGACUCGAAUUCCACAGGUUCGGUUAUCAUAUGGCUUCGGCCGCGCAAGUUCGAAUCUUGUCUUCGUCG